UAUAUUUUAGUAUAUGAUGUACUUAAGUUUUUGAUACUUAAAGGAAUAGUUUAAUUCUAUUAAAUAUAG
rnacentral:tRNA from 1 species